AUUGAACGCUGGCGGCAUGCCUUACACAUGCAAGUCGAACGGCAGCACGGGAGCAAUCCUGGUGGCGAGUGGCGAACGGGUGAGUAAUAUAUCGGAACGUGCCCGGUCGUGGGGGAUAACGUAGCGAAAGCUACGCUAAUACCGCAUACGAUCUAUGGAUGAAAGCGGGGGAUCGCAAGACCUCGCGCGAUUGGAGCGGCCGAUAUCAGAUUAGGUAGUUGGUGAGGUAAAGGCUCACCAAGCCGACGAUCUGUAGCUGGUCUGAGAGGACGACCAGCCACACUGGGACUGAGACACGGCCCCAGACUCCUACGGGAGGCAGCAGUGGGGAAUUUUGGACAAUGGACGCAAGUCUGAUCCAGCCAUUCCGCGUGCAGGAUGAAGGCCCUCGGGUUGUAAACUGCUUUUGUACGGAACGAAAAGGUUUGUCUUAAUACGAUGAGCUCAUGACGGUACCGUAAGAAUAAGCACCGGCUAACUACGUG
rnacentral:rRNA from 1 species